rnacentral:rRNA from 1 species
UACGUAGGGGGCGAGCGUUGUCCGAAUUUACUGGGCGUAAAGCGCGCGUAGGCGGAUUUUUAAGUUGGGGGUGAAAUCCCGGGGCUCAACCCCGGAACUGCCUCCAAAACUGGAAGUCUUGAGGUAUGGAGAGGGAAGUGGAAUUCCUGGUGUAGCGGUGAAAUGCGUAGAUAUCAGGAGGAACACCCGUGGCGAAGGCGGCUUCCUGGCCAUAUCCUGACGCUGAGGUGCGAAAGCUAGGGGAGCGAACGGGAUUAGAUACCCCGGUAGUCCUAGCCGUAAACGAUGGAUACUAGGUGUAAGUGGUAUCGACCCCACUUGUGCCGAAGCUAACGCAUUAAGUAUCCCGCCUGGGGAGUACGGCCGCAAGGUUGAA